UUAAAUUGAAGAGUUUGAUCAUGGCUCAGAUUGAACGCUGGCGGCAGGCCUAACACAUGCAAGUCGAACGGUAACAGGAAGCAGCUUGCUGCUUUGCUGACGAGUGGCGGACGGGUGAGUAAUGUCUGGGAAACUGCCUGAUGGAGGGGGAUAACUACUGGAAACGGUGGCUAAUACCGCAUAACGUCGCAAGACCAAAGAGGGGGACCUUCGGGCCUCUUGCCAUCAGAUGUGCCCAGAUGGGAUUAGCUUGUUGGUGAGGUAACGGCUCACCAAGGCGACGAUCCCUAGCUGGUCUGAGAGGAUGACCAGCCACACUGGAACUGAGACACGGUCCAGACUCCUACGGGAGGCAGCAGUGGGGAAUAUUGCACAAUGGGCGCAAGCCUGAUGCAGCCAUGCCGCGUGUAUGAAGAAGGCCUUCGGGUUGUAAAGUACUUUCAGCGGGGAGGAAGGUGUUGCGGUUAAUAACCGCAGCAAUUGACGUUACCCGCAGAAGAAGCACCGGCUAACUCCGUGCCAGCAGCCGCGGUAAUACGGAGGGUGCAAGCGUUAAUCGGAAUUACUGGGCGUAAAGCGCACGCAGGCGGUCUGUCAAGUCGGAUGUGAAAUCCCCGGGCUCAACCUGGGAACUGCAUUCGAAACUGGCAGGCUUGAGUCUUGUAGAGGGGGGUAGAAUUCCAGGUGUAGCGGUGAAAUGCGUAGAGAUCUGGAGGAAUACCGGUGGCGAAGGCGGCCCCCUGGACAAAGACUGACGCUCAGGUGCGAAAGCGUGGGGAGCAAACAGGAUUAGAUACCCUGGUAGUCCACGCCGUAAACGAUGUCUACUUGGAGGUUGUGCCCUUGAGGCGUGGCUUCCGGAGCUAACGCGUUAAGUAGACCGCCUGGGGAGUACGGCCGCAAGGUUAAAACUCAAAUGAAUUGACGGGGGCCCGCACAAGCGGUGGAGCAUGUGGUUUAAUUCGAUGCAACGCGAAGAACCUUACCUGGUCUUGACAUCCACAGAACUUUCCAGAGAUGGACUGGUGCCUUCGGGAACUGUGAGACAGGUGCUGCAUGGCUGUCGUCAGCUCGUGUUGUGAAAUGUUGGGUUAAGUCCCGCAACGAGCGCAACCCUUAUCCUUUGUUGCCAGCGAUUAGGUCGGGAACUCAAAGGAGACUGCCAGUGAUAAACUGGAGGAAGGUGGGGAUGACGUCAAGUCAUCAUGGCCCUUACGACCAGGGCUACACACGUGCUACAAUGGCGCAUACAAAGAGAAGCGACCUCGCGAGAGCAAGCGGACCUCAUAAAGUGCGUCGUAGUCCGGAUUGGAGUCUGCAACUCGACUCCAUGAAGUCGGAAUCGCUAGUAAUCGUGGAUCAGAAUGCCACGGUGAAUACGUUCCCGGGCCUUGUACACACCGCCCGUCACACCAUGGGAGUGGGUUGCAAAAGAAGUAGGUAGCUUAACCUUCGGGAGGGCGCUUACCACUUUGUGAUUCAUGACUGGGGUGAAGUCGUAACAAGGUAACCGUAGGGGAACCUGCGGUUGGAUCACCUCCUUACCUUAAAGAA
rnacentral:rRNA from 1 species